rnacentral:lncRNA from 1 species
UGUGCCCACGGCCUAGUUUUGGCACACGGAGGUGCCUCGCAAAGUCUCGCGGCAUUCCGAGUCCGGCGGACGAAGUUGGCCAGCCCCACCCCCCAAGGCUAUAGCCCACCUUUUUUUGUGGCCUUUUUCCGCUGGACGAACUUGGCGCCCCGGCCUUCGUGCGGUUAUUAUUGGGCGCGGCUGUGCCCGCAGCCUAUUUUUGCCACACGGAGGCACCUCGCAAAGUACCGCGCCAUUCCGAGUCCGGCGGACGAAGUGGGCCAGCCCCACACCCCAAGGCUAUAGCCCACCCGUUUUUGUGGCCUUUUUCCGCUGGACGAACUUGGCGCCCCGGCCUUCGGGAGGUUAUUUUUGGGUGCGGCUGUGCCCGCGCCCUAUUUUUGGCACACGGAGGCGCCUCGCGAAGUCUCGCGCCAUUCCGAGUCCGGCGGACGAAGUUGGCCAACCCCACCCCCCAAGGCUAUAGCCCACCCGUUUUUGUGGCCUUUUUCCGCUGGACGAACUUGGCGCCCCGGCCUUCGGCCGGUUAUUUUUUUGCGCGGCUGUGCCCGCGGCCUAUUUUUGCCACACGGAGGCACCUCGCAAAGUACCGCGCCAUUCCGAGUCCGGCGGACGAAGUGGGCCAGCCCCACACCCCAAGGCUAUAGCCCACCCGUUUUUGUGGCCUUUUUCCGCUGGACGAACUUGGCGCCCCGGCCUUCGGGCGGUUAUUUUUGUAAGCGGCUGCGCCCGCGGCCUAUUUUUGGCACACGGAGGCAUCUCGCAAAGCCUCGCGCCAUUCCGUGUCCGGCGGACGAAGUGGGCCAGCCCCACCCCCCAAGGCUAUAGCCCACCUGUUUUUGUGGGAUUUUUCCGCUGGACGAACUUGGCGCCCCAGCCUUCGGGCGGUUAUUUUUGGCCGCGGCUGUGCUC